AUGGAGAUGACAGUCUCCAAACAAAGUUGUAUUCCAACGACACACGCAGCCAUAUCUAGCUCUGUAGAGGGAGACAGUUUAACGACAGAUUUAGUCGCGGCAACUAAUCCUUUAGAUUUUUCUACAGAUGUGGCAAACGGAAAUCAGACGAUCGAGUCCUAUGCAUCAACGAACACACCCGAAUAUGAAAAAUCAACAAGUGAUGAAGUCUUUGAAAACACUGUCUCUUCUAAAGGAGGUACUGAAAUGACAACCGACACCUCAGAUAUAUCUGUUAGCAGAACAGUGCAAUCUUCUACCAGUCUGUAUAAAGAAAACGUCGUGGCAAGUGAAUAUCUAACGACCUAUUCAUCAAGCGCUGCUGAAAAUAUUGAAUAUACUAGUGAUCAGACGUUUAGCAAGCCGUCUAUAACUGAAGAAAGGUGGGGUACUUCUGUGACACUCCCGCCAGAAGCAUCUAAUAACAGGACUGUUAUACAAACGACAACCGGCGAGAAAGCUACUUCUUCACACGAACCUGGAUAUGAGUUAACCAGCAAUUAUGUGAACAACUACUUCACAAAAGAAGGAACAGAAUAUCAUGUCAAAUCAGAAACGUCCAACAACAGGACUUCUGUUCCAUCAUCUACAAGUAGAUAUCAAGGAAAAGCAUUUCUGCUGUAUACUGUAUUUCUCCUCCGAACGGAACAUGUGCCCAUACAGCUUAUCAUUAUUGUGACUGGGCUGGAUGGGGAACUUGGAGUAACUGUUCAAACCAGUGUGGAUCAGGCACCCAGGAACGGAAACGUUUUAUUUGCUGCCCGCCAGAGUACAAUGCAUCUUCCAUUCUGCAGUGUGUGCAGCAACUGUGUGCACAUAGCGUGUCCGAUUAUAUCAAACAUCAGUCCUGCACAGCUAGCACCGGAUGUAAAGGUAGGGGUUGGCAAAUUUAACUUAGAAAUGGUACUGCAGAGCAUUUCGGUACUUUGA
rnacentral:misc_RNA from 1 species